rnacentral:tRNA from 1 species
GACAGAGUAGCGCAGUGGAAGCGUGCUGGGCCAUAACCCAGAGGUGAAUGGAUCGAAACCAUUUCCUGCUA